rnacentral:rRNA from 1 species
GACGAACGCUGGCGGCGUGCCUAAUACAUGCAAGUAGAACGCUGAAGGAGGAGCUUUCCCUUCUGGAUGAUUUGCGAACGGGUGAGUAACGCGUAGGUAACCUGCCUGGUAGCGGGGGAUAACUAUUGGAAACGAUAGCUAAUACCGCAUAAAAGUAGAUGUUGCAUGACAUUUGCUUAAAAGGUGCAAUUGCAUCACUACCAGAUGGACCUGCGUUGGAUUAGCUAGUUGGUGGGGUAACGGCUCACCAAGGGGACGAUACAUAGUCGGCCCGGGAGGGGGGUUGGCCCACAUUGGAAUGGGACACGGGCCAAGACCCUACGGGGGGCAACCAUAGGGAAUCUUCGGCAAAUGACGGAAGGCUGAACGGGCCACGCCGCGUGAGUGAAGAAGGUUUUCGGGUCGUAAAGCUCUUUUGUAAGGGAAGAACGAGAGUUGGAGUUGAAAGUUCACGCUGUGACGGUAUCUUACCAGAAAGCGACGGCUAACUACGUG